rnacentral:rRNA from 1 species
AUUGAACGCUGGCGGCAUGCCUUACACAUGCAAGUCGAACGGCAGCAUGAUCUAGCUUGCUAGAUUGAUGGCGAGUGGCGAACGGGUGAGUAAUACAUCGGAACGUGCCCUGUAGUGGGGGAUAACUAGUCGAAAGAUUAGCUAAUACCGCAUACGACCUGAGGGUGAAAGUGGGGGGCCGCAAGGCCUCAUGCCAUAGGAGCGGCCGAUGUCUGAUUAGCUAGUUGGUGAGGUAAAGGCUCACCAAGGCGACGAUCAGUAGCUGGUCUGAGAGGACGAUCAGCCACACUGGGACUGAGACACGGCCCAGACUCCUACGGGAGGCAGCAGUGGGGAAUUUUGGACAAUGGGGGCAACCCUGAUCCAGCAAUGCCGCGUGUGUGAAGAAGGCCUUCGGGUUGUAAAGCACUUUUGUCCGGAAAGAAAUCGCACUUACUAAUAUUAGGUGUGGAUGACGGUACCGGAAGAAUAAGGACCGGCUAACUACGUGCCAGCCGCCGCCGUAAAAC